rnacentral:rRNA from 11 species
GUAAUAGCUCACUGGUCGAGUCGGCCUGCGCGGAAGAUGUAACGGGGCUCAAACCAUACACCGAAGCUACGGGUAUCACCUUCGGGUGAUGCGGUAGAGGAGCGUUCUGUAAGCCUGUGAAGGUGAGUUGAGAAGCUUGCUGGAGGUAUCAGAAGUGCGAAUGCUGACAUGAGUAACGACAAUGCGGGUGAAAAACCCGCACGCCGGAAGACCAAGGGUUCCUAUCCCAUGUUAAUCAGGGUAGGGUAAGUCGACCCCUAAGGCGAGGCCGAAAGGCGUAGUCGAUGGAAAACAGGUUAAUAUUCCUGUACUUCUGGUUAUUGCGAUGGAGGGACGGAGAAGGCUAGGCCA